UUCAAUCUGGUUGACUCCUUAUGGCAGUGCCAUUCUAAGCCCUCUAUUUGUCUAUUUCAGAGACCUGACAGGGCUUGUCUAUACUUGGCCCCUUGUUACCUAUCUGGGGUGCAUCCAUUGUGAAUAUUGUGUUUAAAUUCACUGUAUUGCUAUAUGAUCAGCUUACACUCCUGUGUUAAUUUCAACUCACCAUGGUUACAGCCUGAUUAGCUCUAUCUACCUUCACUGGAUUUUUAGCUGCAAUCUGCAUUGGCUAUAUACUACUAUGGUGCAGAUGGAACUUUUUCACUGGAUGCCAGUACAAGUUUAUUCUUUUAACCAUUAACCCCUCACCAGUUCAGACUCCGGGUUACUGUUACCCCUAAUCUCAACUGAUGCUCCUCUAGCACAUUUAUAACAAAAAGUCCUUUGAAGAAGCGCCAUAUCUCAGCGCGAAACAUGUCAGGCCACAGCGAUUCCUUUGUCAUCGUUUAGACCUUCAGUCUAUGCAGUCUUCGGUCCUUCCUCAG